rnacentral:tRNA from 1 species
GAGGAUGUGGCUCAGUGAUUGAGUGCUUGCCUAGCAUGCAUGAGGCACUGUGUUCGAUCCCCGGCACCACA